rnacentral:lncRNA from 1 species
GGCUACUUUGCCCUAUUUUCUGCCCCAUCCUGUGCCUUCUUUCCUUUUGUCCUUCUCCUGGAUGCUUUCUGCAUCUCUUUUGCUGCAGGAUGUGGUGGCCAUCCCCAUUCUCUGCGAUUUUAAUGAACAUCAGCUGUCUGGGAGAAGACUCCCAACAUCUGUCUUUUUUUUUUUUUUUUUUUUUUUUUGAGACUGGGUCCAGGCUGGAGUGCAGUGCUGCGCCCUGCAACCUCUGCCUCCUGGGUUCAAGUGAUUCUCCUGCUUCAGCCUCCUGAGUAGCUGGGAUUACAGGCACCCACCACCACACCCAGCUAAUUUUUGUAUUUUUAAUAGAGACGGGGUUUCACCAUGUUGACCAGGCUGGUCUUGAACUCCUGACCUCGAGUGAUCCACCCACCUCGGCCUCCCAAAGUGCUGGGAUUGCAGCCAUGAGCCUCCAUGCCCGGCCCCCAACAUCUGUCUUGUUCAAAAAAGAGCCAGCAUGUAGACAGGGACGGACCACACCAGGCAGGGCUGGGGAUGCUGGCCAGGAGAUGGGAUCUGAUCAUCAACUGAAAUGUUACCUGGGAGGUCUUCAGAUUGGCUGCCUCAUCUCCUUUCUCUCCAGGGGAUGCUUGCUAGCACAUGGAUCUUACUUCACCUCUUCUGGACAGUUUCCCUUCCCCCUGGCAGCCCUCACCAGGCUUCUGGGAAGUGAGGGGACAUAGGAAAUGGACUUCACACUAUUACUGAACAGAUGAGAGUCCCUGAAGUCAUGGAUUCAUUUCCUUCCUGAGUAGCCUUGUCACCCUUGUUGUUUCUCUCCACAGGUUUCAAGUUGCCCUAGCAUGCAGGAUGAGAUGGCUUCAGAGAGGAUGGGCAGCCCGCAUCAGAGUGACAGUGGAAAGUACCUUGGGCUUUGUGGUCAGAAGAGCCCAGCUCCAGGGCAGUGUGUUUCCUGAAGCCAUGUGACCUUGAGCAAAUCGCUUUUGUCUUUGACCCUCUGUUUUCUUCUGGGUUAAUGAAAAUAGGGGCGAUGCUUCUUUGCCACAGGUUCAUGACUGCCUGCCACUUCCUCUCUGUUCUCCUGCCUCCUCUGUCUGGAAGACAUGUCCAGUUUCCUCCACUCCUGGAUUCUCCUUGCUUUUGUCCUCAGACCAUCAGAUUCAAGAGAGGCAGUGCAGGUGGAUGGCAAAGGGACCCGGAUACAAAAAGCUGAGUCAGGCCCCGGGCCAGGGCUAACCAUGCGCAGGGCAGAGUCCCUGGGGCUGCAGUUGGUUAUCAUUACUGUUUUCU